UGAUUCUCUCCCGUGAGGGUGAACCUGCGGAAGGAUCAUUACACAUAUAAACUAGAUCUCAGGGGAGGUUCGCCUCUUUCUGAGAUGUAUGUUAUACCCAUGUCUUUUGCGUACUACUUGUUUCCUUGGUAGGCUUGCCUGCCAAUAGGACAAAAUCAAAACCUUUUGUAAUUGCAGUCAGCGUCAGAAAUAACUUUUAAUAGUUACAACUUUCAACAACGGAUCUCUUGGUUCUGGCAUCGAUGAAGAACGCAGCGAAAUGCGAUAAGUAGUGUGAAUUGCAGAAUUCAGUGAAUCAUCGAAUCUUUGAACGCACAUUGCGCCCCUUGGUAUUCCAUGGGGCAUGCCUGUUCGAGCGUCAUUUGUACCCUCAAGCUUUGCUUGGUGUUGGGCGUUUGUCUCGCGUUGCGCGUAGACUCGCCUUAAAGCGAUUGGCAGCCGGCAUAUUGGCCUUGGAGCGCAGCACAUUUUGCGAAUCCAGUCAUUUAUGUUGGCGUCCAUUAAGCCUAUACAUUUUGCUCUGACCUCGGAUCAGGUAGGUACCCAGACUCCCUA
rnacentral:rRNA from 1 species